rfam:Streptomyces caelestis strain NRRL B-24567 P188contig25.1, whole genome shotgun sequence.
CCACGUCCCGACGCACACCCCCCCCCGGCGCCGGGACUUUCCAAGCCGGGUUCGGCGCCCUCCCCCCGGGCGUCGGGCCCGGCUUUCUC